CCUCUUGAAGAUGCUGAACUGGUGGAGUACAUCCUCACCGGUCUCGACCUCAACUUCAACCCCAUCAUCUCCGCCUUGAUAGCAAGAACAGAUCCAACUUCGAUGAGUGAAGUUUACUCGCAGUUCUUGGCCUUUGAGA